rnacentral:piRNA from 1 species
GGCACAGUGGCGCGACGAGAUGCUGC